AGUGAACGCUGGCGGUAGGCCUAACACAUGCAAGUCGAACGGCAGCACAGUAAGAGCUUGCUCUUACGGGUGGCGAGUGGCGGACGGGUGAGGAAUACAUCGGAAUCUACUUUUUCGUGGGGGAUAACGUAGGGAAACUUACGCUAAUACCGUAUACGACCUACGGGUGAAAGCAGGGGAUCUUCGGACCUUGCGCGAUUGAAUGAGCCGAUGUCGGAUUAGCUAGUUGGCGGGGUAAAGGCCCACCAAGGCGACGAUCCGUAGCUGGUCUGAGAGGAUGAUCCGCCACACUGGAACUGAGACACGGUCCAGACUCCUACGGGAGGCAGCAGUGGGGAAUAUUGGACAAUGGGCGCAAGCCUGAUCCAGCCAUACCGCGUGGGUGAAGAAGGCCUUCGGGUUGUAAAGCCCUUUUGUUGGGAAAGAAAAGCAGCAGGUUAAUACCCCGCUGUUCUGACGGUACCCAAAGAAUAAGCACCGGCUAACUUCGUG
rnacentral:rRNA from 1 species